rnacentral:rRNA from 1 species
GAUGAACGCUGGCGGCGUGCCUAAUACAUGCAAGUCGAGCGCGAGAAUGAGGAGCUUGCUCCUCAUGAUCGAGCGGCGGACGGGUGAGUAACACGUAGGCAACCUACCCUUGAGAUUGGGAUAACUACCGGAAACGGUAGCUAAUACCGGAUACGACUUUUCCACAUAAGUGGAAUGGUUAAAAGGCGGAUUUAUCUGCCGCUCAUGGAUGGGCCUGCGGUGCAUUAGCUAGUUGGUGAGGUAGUGGCUCACCAAGGCGACGAUGCAUAGCCGACCUGAGAGGGUGAUCGGCCACACUGGGACUGAGACACGGCCCAGACUCCUACGGGAGGCAGCAGUAGGGAAUCUUCCGCAAUGGACGCAAGUCUGACGGAGCAACGCCGCGUGAGUGAUGAAGGGUUUCGGCUCGUAAAACUCUGUUGUUAAGGAAGAACACUUGAGGUAGUAACUGGCCUUGAGAUGACGGUACUUAACCAGAAAGCCACGGCUAACUACGUGCCAGCAGCCGCGGUAAUACGUAGGUGGCAAGCGUUAUCCGGAAUUAUUGGGCGUAAAGCGCGCGUAGGCGGUAAAAUAAGUCUGAUGUGAAAGCCCCCGGCUCAACCGGGGAGGGUCAUUGGAAACUGUUUUACUUGAGUACAGAAGAGGAGAGUGGAAUUCCAUGUGUAGCGGUGAAAUGCGCAGAGAUAUGGAGGAACACCAGUGGCGAAGGCGGCUCUCUGGUCUGUAACUGACGCUGAGGUGCGAAAGCGUGGGGAUCAAACAGGAUUAGAUACCCCUGGUAGUCC